rnacentral:rRNA from 1 species
UUCGGUCUUUUGAGCGAUUUGGAACCACCUCUUUCCAUUCCGAACAGAGAAGUGAAACGGGUCAGCGCUUACGAUACUCGAUUAUUCGGGGAAAAUGAGUCAAGGCCGGGG